AGUGAACGCUGGCGGUAGGCCUAACAUAUGCAAGUCGAACGGCAGCACAGUAAGAGCUUGCUCUUACGGGUGGCGAGUGGCGGACGGGUGAGGAAUACAUCGGAAUCUACUUUUUCGUGGGGGAUAACGUAGGGAAACUUACGCUAAUACCGCAUACGACCUACGGGUGAAAGCAGGGGAUCUUCGGACCUUGCGCGAUUGAAUGAGCCGAUGUCGGAUUAGCUAGUUGGCGGGGUAAAGGCCCACCAAGGCGACGAUCCGUAGCUGGUCUGAGAGGAUGAUCAGCCACACUGGAACUGAGACACGGUCCAGACUCCUACGGGAGGCAGCAGUGGGGAAUAUUGGACAAUGGGCGCAAGCCUGAUCCAGCCAUACCGCGUGGGUGAAGAAGGCCUUCGGGUUGUAAAGCCCUUUUGUUGGGAAAGAAAAGCAGCAGGCUAAUACCCCGCUGUUCUGACGGUACCCAAAGAAUAAGCACCGGCUAACUUCGUG
rnacentral:rRNA from 1 species